rnacentral:rRNA from 1 species
ACUUUAAGCGAGGAGGAGGCUACUUGGAUUAAUACUCUAGGAUAGUGGACGUUACUCGCAGAAUAAGCACCGGCUAACUCUGUGCCAGCAGCCGCGGUAAUACAGAGGGUGCGAGCGUUAAUCGGAUUUACUGGGCGUAAAGCGUGCGUAGGCGGCUUUUUAAGUCGGAUGUGAAAUCCCUGAGCUUAACUUAGGAAUUGCAUUCGAUACUGGGAAGCUAGAGUAUGGGAGAGGAUGGUAGAAUUCCAGGUGUAGCGGUGAAAUGCGUAGAGAUCUGGAGGAAUACCGAUGGCGAAGGCAGCCAUCUGGCCUAAUACUGACGCUGAGGUACGAAAGCAUGGGGAGCAAACAGGAUUAGAUACCCUGGUAGUCCAUGCCGUAAACGAUGUCUACUAGCCGUUGGGGCCUUUGAGGCUUUAGUGGCGC